rnacentral:rRNA from 1 species
GGAUAACCUGCCCCUUGGGUCCCGGGCAUAACCCCGGGGAAACUGGGGAUAAUUCCGGGAUAACGCACAUAUGCUGGAAUGCUUUAUGCGUAAAAUGGAUUCGUCUGCCCAAGGAUGGGUCUGCGGCCUAUCAGGUAGUAGUGGGUGUAAUGUACCUACUAGCCAACAACGGGUACGGGUUGUGAGAGCAAGAGCCCGGAGAUGGAUUCUGAGACAUGAAUCCAGGCCCUACGGGGCGCAGCAGGCGCGAAAACUUUACAAUGCGGGAAACCGUGAUAAGGGGACACCGAGUGCCAGCAUCAUAUGCUGGCUGUCCAGGUGUGUAAAAUACACCUGUCAGCAAGGGCCGGGCAAGACCGGUGCCAGCCGCCGCGGUAACACCGGCGGCCCGAGUGGUGAUCGUGAUUAUUGGGUCUAAAGGGUCCGUAGCCGGUUUGGUCAGUCCUCCGGGAAAUCUGACGGCUCAACCGUUAGGCUUUCGGGGGAUACUGCCAGGCUUGGAACCGGGAGAGGUAAGAGGUACUACAGGGGUAGGAGUGAAAUCUUGUAAUCCCUGUGGGACCACCUGUGGCGAAGGCGUCUUACCAGAACGGGUUCGACGGUGAGGGACGAAAGCUGGGGGCACGAACCGGAUUAGAUACCCGGGUAGUCCCAGCCGUAAACGAUGCUCGCUAGGUGUCAGGCAUGGCGCGACCGUGUCUGGUGCCGCAGGGAAGCCGUGAAGCGAGCCACCUGGGAAGUACGGCCGCAAGGCUGAAACUUAA